rnacentral:rRNA from 1 species
UACGGAGGAUGCGAGCGUUAUCCGGAUUUAUUGGGUUUAAAGGGUGCGUAGGCGGGAUGCCAAGUCAGCGGUAAAAAUGCGGUGCUCAACGCCGUCGAGCCGUUGAAACUGGCGUUCUUGAGUGGGCGAGAAGUGUGCGGAAUGCGUGGUGUAGCGGUGAAAUGCAUAGAUAUCACGCAGAACUCCGAUUGCGAAGGCAGCAUACCGGCGCCCUACUGACGCUGAGGCACGAAAGUGUGGGUAUCGAACAGG